GAUGAAGAACGUAGCGAAAUGCGAUAAGUAAUGUGAAUUGCAGAAUUCAGUGAAUCAUCGAAUGUUUGAACGCACCUUGCGCCCUUUGGCCAUUCCGAAGGGCAUGCCUGUUUGAGUAUCAUGAACACCUCAACUAUUUAUGGUUUUCCAUGAUGAGCUUGGACUCUGGGGGUUUUGCUGGCUCACAGUCGGCUCCUCUAAAAUGAAUCAGCUUACCAGUGUUUGGUGGGUAUCAUGGGUGUGAUAACUAUCUACGCUUGUGGUUUUUCCACCAGGUAACCUUCAGCAGUGGAGGUCCGCUGGAGCUCAUAGAUGUCUCUCCUCAGUGAGGACAGCCCUUUGAAUGUUUGAUCUCAAAUCAGGUAGGACUACCCGCUGAACUUAAGCAUAUCAAUAAGCGGAGGA
rnacentral:misc_RNA from 1 species